GUUGAUGGCCAUACCACCUUGAACAUACUCGGUCUUUUCUGAUCUCAGAAGCUAGGCCGAGUUGGGCCUGGUUAGUACUUGGAUGGGAGAACAGAGAAGCAGUACACAGUCUCCC
rnacentral:rRNA from 1 species